rnacentral:rRNA from 1 species
GGUGUGAGGAAAGAUUUAUCGGUGAAAGAUGGAUCCGCGUCUGAUUAGCCAGUUGGCGGGGUAACGGCCCACCAAAGCGACGAUCAGUAGCCGGCCUGAGAGGGCGGACGGCCACAUUGGGACUGAGACACGGCCCAGACUCCUACGGGAGGCAGCAGUGGGGGAUAUUGCACAAUGGGCGCAAUCAAGGGGCAGCGACGCCGCGUGAGUGAAGAAGUAUUUUUUAAAGGGAAGCUCUAUCAGCAGGGAAGAAAG